rnacentral:tRNA from 1 species
CGGGGCGUGGCUCAGUUGGCAGAGCAUUCGGUUUGGGACCGAAGGGUCGUUGGUUCAAAUCCAAUCGCCCCGA